GAUGAACGCUGGCGGCGUGCCUAAUACAUGCAAGUCGAGCGAACAGAUGAGGAGCUUGCUCCUCUGACGUUAGCGGCGGACGGGUGAGUAACACGUGGAUAACCUACCUAUAAGACUGGGAUAACUUCGGGAAACCGGAGCUAAUACCGGAUAAUAUAUUGAACCGCAUGGUUCAAUAGUGAAAGACGGUCUUGCUGUCACUUAUAGAUGGAUCCGCGCUGCAUUAGCUAGUUGGUAAGGUAACGGCUUACCAAGGCGACGAUGCGUAGCCGACCUGAGAGGGUGAUCGGCCACACUGGAACUGAGACACGGUCCAGACUCCUACGGGAGGCAGCAGUAGGGAAUCUUCCGCAAUGGGCGAAAGCCUGACGGAGCAACGCCGCGUGAGUGAUGAAGGUCUUCGGAUCGUAAAACUCUGUUAUUAGGGAAGAACAAAUGUGUAAGUAACUAUGCACGUCUUGACGGUACCUAAUCAGAAAGCCACGGCUAACUACGUG
rnacentral:rRNA from 1 species